ensembl:lncRNA
CAGAACAGUGUGUAACCUAAGUAUAGAACACGAGUAUAUGUCCUUUAUCAUAUAUAAAGUUAUGAAACACUAUAAUUCGGACUUGAAAGUGAUAGAGAUAGAGUAUAAUAAAGUUUAACCCACUUAUUGUCUGUUUUAUGACACAUUUAUAGGCCCUAAACAUUGCAUCAUAUUUGCUGUGAGCGUGCCACAUAAAUUAAGGCACUUCUGGCUUUUCAUCAAGGGGCUAAACUGUUCCUGAACGUGUUUAUGAUCAUCCAAUCCUCCUCAGCAGCCUUGACCCACAGUGUUUUGAAGAGUUUACAGUGAUGACAGACUCACCUCAGGGCCGAGCAGUGACAUUCUGGUGACGUUAAAGCGAAUCAGAGAGCAGAUCAGCUCGUUCAGGUGAGAUUUAUGCUGGAAUGUGUGCGUGUGUGUGCGCAAAUGAGAGCCGAGGCCUCACCUGUAGGAGUGUAUAAAAAAAAGAAAAGAAAAAAAAAAGCAGGGAGGCACAGUGAAAGCAGAGUGGGCGGGCCCAGCUCCAUUUUCUCUGUGUGUCCAGAGAAGUUUGAACCAAAUCACAGGAUUCAGGUUCACCUGGUGCGUGCGCGGCGGUGCACCUGUCGCGACAAGUCCAGCUCACCUGCCCGGCUUGCUCGCCUUUACCUGCUCGGAUUUACCUGCGGAUCUACGAAAAAAAAAAAUGUGUCCAUGAUUCGUGCCUGAACCUAAACAGUCGUAUCUUCACAUCCCCACUCAUCAACAACCAUGAAGAGAGGAGCGUUCAACUUUCUGGGUCGGAAGAACCAGUCCCUGUUCGACACCAACAUCAAAAUGACCGACAUGGACAAUAUGGAGCUGGUGCUGGGGUCAGCUGCGAUUCCUGAGUCAGGAACUGCCAGUGUGCGGGCCAGACCCACCGUCAAGCAUCACACAUCCUCAAGUUUAGACAGUUUUCAAGGAUAUGCCGUCCCAACACCCAAAGUCCCCAUCCUCCCCCCUGUCAAUGGUCCAAAGAUCAAUGGUUCAGUCAGCGUGUCCAAUGGAUCUGUUAUAUCUAUACCUGGCCUCGUGGAAGAGGAGGAGGAAAUAUUUGUUCCUCCCCCUCCCUCUACGGCACCUCCGCCCCCGCCCUCUUUUAUCCCUCCUCCAGACUUCAUGGGUGACCUGAACAGCCUAGACCUGGCAAACCUCCAGCCUCCUUCCAUGCCUGCUCCAAAACUGGCACCGUCUAUGGCCGAGGAAGACUUCACCAUCUUAAAACCGCCACCAAUGGCUCCGCCAAAGCCUCCAUCUACUUGCUCUAGUGGCUCAGCAUCAUCCAUACCCAUUUCUAGUCCACCAGUUCCUGAUUAUCCUAAAUUUGCUCCACCCCAGCCCCCUCCUGAAAAGCAACAGAAAAUUUAUAAGACACCACCUCCAAAACCGAUUAGACUGUCCUCUAUUGCUGCUCUUGACUCCCCACCACAGAGUCCUGCUCCACCUCCCCCUAUGCAGACACCCACACAAUCCACCUUCAAUCCCCAAAACACUGCAAAGCUUUAUAGUAGUCCGAAGACUGCUAUUCUAGGGGGGCAUGAGGAUCAGGACGCAAGACCCAAGCAGAUGUUACUUCUGGAAGAUUCUGGGUCUUCCCAAUGUGCUCCCGUGGUGGUCCAAGUGGAUGGGAAAGCCCCAAGUGAAGUGGCUGCAACAUCUAAACCAGUUUCCAAAGAUAUACAGGAACCAAAGGAGAACCUUCCAAUUACCCAACAUUCUCCUUCACCCUUGCCUGAGCCAAACAAGGAAGCUGAAGCAGAGACAGUUUCAGCACCACCAGAGGAAGACAAACCUCUCCCAACUAUACGUAAGACAUCGCCACUGCUUAAAAAAGUGAACAUUCCUUCAGAACCCAAUAAGGACAAAUUUGAAGUAACUCCAAGUCAAGGCCACAGAUUCAGUCCGAUAUUAGAUCGUAAACUACGCAACCUCAAGGGAAUGGAAACCAACGGGCCACGAGAAGGACCUGUAGCUUCUCCACUUGCUCUUUUAAUGGCAGCUAAAGAAAGAGACAAACAAAGAACGACUCUAUCUCUGUCGCGGGAAAACAGCAGCAAAAACACAGAGCGGCCUAGUGCAAGCAUUCAACCAAGUGACUCAAGUCCCAAUUCCUUUAUUGUCACCCCAAGGUCCAGCUCAUCCUCUUCUGUAACAUCGCAAGACAUGAUACAGGACAGUCCAAAGCCAGCCAGUCUUGUGGAACAUACACAAACACUUCAGACUUCACAAAAGUCCAGUAGUCCUGCACUGGUGAAGGAUCAGAUGCAGUUAAACAGUCCAGCUCUCAAUAGCAUGGCUGCAUCCCCAAGAGUGCCCAACCUGGUUGCACAGAAACAAAAUGCAGAGCAGGGUCUGUCAACGCUUCAAUCUACAAAGGAUGUGAAUAAUAAAGAAGAGUCAAAUAUGCUGUUACUCCCUCCGCCUCCAGAGUUUGAUGAUUUAGAUGCGAUUAUGGAGCCCCCUCCUUCGAUCCGUCCACCUGACCCUCCCAUGAAGAGGGCCCCAACACCAACCAUGAUCCCUCCUCCUCCAACUCAUGUUCCAUCUCCUCCUCCCAUGAAGGCCCCCCCAAUGCCAUCUGUGAUCCCAUCUCCCCCCACUUAUGUUCCAUCUCCUCCUCCCAUGAAGAAGUCCCCAACACCAUCUAUGAUCCCUCAGCCUCCAACUCAUGUUCCAUCUCCUCCUCCAAUGAAGAGGGCCCCAACACCAACUAUGAUCCCUCCUCCUCCAGCUCAUGUUCCAUCUCCUCCUCCGAUGAAGAAGGCCCCAACACCAACUGUGAUCCCUCCUCCUCCUCCUCCUCCUCAAGUUCCAUCUCCUCCUUCAAAACCUAAACCCCAAGGACCCCCAGCACCACCUAAACUCCCACCACCGGCCAUUGAUGUCAAACCAAAGCCCCAAGACCAGACAAAACUUAAGAUGGCUCCUUCUCAGCUUCCAACAAAUCUUUCACCCAGUCAGGCCACACUCCUGAGUAUCUUACAAAAGAAGAUGUUGGAAAUGGACCACAAAAUGGCCCCAAUGAAGGAUGCAGAAUCCAGUUCAGAUGACUGGGGCACCCCUUUGUCUGAUGAGGACAGUAAGGUCCCUGUUGUCCCCAGGGCCACACCACAGAGUAGGAACAUCCCUCCGGUCAACAAAGCAGCAACCCUGAACUUGCGGGAGCUGGAGGGUAAAGUGAGCAAAAGAUAUCAGGAUACAUCCUCAAACAAAGUUUCCACCAGCAAUGGACCAUCAAAACAUCAGUUUGGUAAGACCUUUACUGUUCGGCCUGGAACCAAACAGCCCAUUACUCUUGUCCGUCAAGGGGAGUCUUAA